rnacentral:sRNA from 1 species
CUCCCAAAGCUGCGUGCUCCAUUGAAGAGGACUACCUUCCCAGAAUAGAGGAACAGUGGUCUGAGGUCAAGGGUACAUGAGUAGCUCUGCUCCCCUGCUAGAACCUCCAAACAAGCUCAAGGUCCUCCCAGUCUUUCUAUC